AGUGAACGCUGGCGGCGUGGCUCAGACAUGCAAGUCGAACGAGAAACUCCUUUCGGGGAGUGGAUAGUGGCAAACGGGUGCGUAACACGUGAGUAACCUGCCCUAAAGUUUGGGAUAGCUCGCCGAAAGGCGGAUUAAUACCGGAUGUGGUCUUCCUUCGCAUGAAGGAGGUACUAAAGCUUGUAGUGGCGCUUUAGGAGGGGCUCGCGGCCUAUCAGCUUGUUGGUGAGGUAACGGCUUACCAAGGCUAAGACGGGUAGCCGGUCUGAGAGGAUGGCCGGCCACACUGGAACUGAGAUACGGUCCAGACACCUACGGGUGGCAGCAGUUUCGAAUCAUUCACAAUGGGCGAAAGCCUGAUGAUGCAACGCCGCGUGGGGGAUGACGGCCUUCGGGUUGUAAACCCCUGUCGCUAAGGAGCAAAACGUUGGUUCAUAGCCAACCUUGAGUUAACUUGGAGAGGAAGCAGUGGCUAACUCCGUGCCAGCAGCCGCGGUAAUACGGAGACUGCAAGCGUUACUCGGAUUUACUGGGCGUAAAGGGUGCGUAGGCGGCCAAAUGUGUCAGGUGUGAAAGCCCGGGGCUUAACUCCGGAAUUGCGCCUGAAACUGUUUGGCUAGAGUAUUGGAGAGGUAAGCGGAAUUCCUAGUGUAGCGGUGAAAUGCGUAGAUAUUAGGAGGAACACCAAAGGCGAAGGCAGCUUACUGGACAAUCACUGACGCUGAGGCACGAAAGCGUGGGGAGCGAAAAGGAUUAGAUACCCUUGUAGUCCACGCCGUCAACUUUGUACACUAGGUCUCGGUCGAUUCGACCCGAUCGGGGCUCAAGCUAACGUGAUAAGUGUACCGCCUGAGGACUACGGCCGCAAGGCUAAAACUUAAAGGAAUUGACGGGGGCCCGCACAAGCGGUGGAGCAUGUGGCUUAAUUCGAUGCAACGCGAAGAACCUUACCUAGGCUUGACAUGGAUGGGACCGGAUGUGAAAGCAUCCUUCUCUUCGGAGUCGAUUCACAGGUGCUGCAUGGCUGUCGUCAGCUCGUGUCGUGAGAUGUUCGGUUAAGUCCGGCAACGAGCGCAACCCUUAUUCUUAGUUGCCAUCAAGUUAUGUUGGGGACUCUAAGGAGACAAGCUCCCAGCAAGGAGCGGGAAGGUGGGGAUGACGUCAAGUCAGUAUGGCCCUUACGUCUAGGGCUGCACACGUGUUACAAUGCCCAGUACAGAGGGACGCAAUACCGCGAGGUGGAGCAAAUCCUUAAAGCUGGGCCCAGUUCGGAUUGGAGUCUGCAACUCGACUCCAUGAAGUCGGAAUCGCUAGUAAUGGCGUAUCAGCAAUGACGCCGUGAAUACGUUCCCGGGCCUUGUACACACCGCCCGUCAAGUCAUGAAAGCCGGUUUUACCCAAAAUGUGUGAGCUAACCUUCGGGAGGCAGCACCCUAAGGUGAGGCUGGUGAUUGGGACU
rnacentral:rRNA from 1 species